GGGGGAAUAUUGCGCAAUGGGCGAAAGCCUGACGCAGCGACGGCGCGUGAGGGAUGAAGGUUUUCGGAUCGUAAACCUCUGGCAGAAGGGAAGAAACCGCACUGUGCUAAUCAGCAGUGCCUUGACGGUACCUUCAAAGGAAGCACCGGCUAACUCCGUGCCAGCAGCCGCGGUAAUACGGAGGGUGCAAGCGUUAAUCGGAAUUACUGGGCGUAAAGCGCACGUAGGCUGCUUUGUAAGUCAGGGGUGAAAUCCCACGGCUCAACCGUGGAACUGCCUUUGAUACUGCUUAGCUUGAAUCCGGGAGAGGGUGGCGGAAUUCCAGGUGUAGGAGUGAAAUCCGUAGAUAUCUGGAGGAACAUCAGUGGCGAAGGCGGCCACCUGGACCGGUAUUGACGCUGAGGUGCGAAAGCGUGGGGAGCAAACAGG
rnacentral:rRNA from 1 species